rnacentral:rRNA from 1 species
GAUGAACGCUAGCUACAGGCUUAACACAUGCAAGUCGAGGGGUAACGAGAGGGAAGCUUGCUUUCCUUGUCGACGACCGGCGCGCGGGUGAGUAACGCGUAUCCAACCUGCCCCCAACUAAGGAAUAACCUUGCGAAAGUAAGACUAAUACCCUAUAAUUUCCUCAGAUGUCAUCUGACGAGGAAUAAAGAUUUAUCGGUUGUGGAUGGGGAUGCGUCUGAUUAGCUUGUUGGCGGGGUAACGGCCCACCAAGGCAACGAUCAGUAGGGGUUCUGAGAGGAAGGUCCCCCACAUGGGAACUGAGACAAGGUCCAAACUCCUACGGGAGGCAGCAGUGAGGAAUAUUGGUCAAUGGGCGGAAGCCUGAACCAGCCAAGUAGCGUGCAGGAUGACGGCCCUAUGGGUUGUAAACUGCUUUUAUACAGGAAUAAAGUUAGCCACGUGUGGUUAUUUGUAGGUACUGUAUGAAUAAGGACCGGCUAAUUCCGUGCCAGCAGCCGCGGUAA